rnacentral:rRNA from 1 species
AUGAACGCUGGCGGCGUGCCUAAUACAUGCAAGUCGAGCGAACAGACGAGGAGCUUGCUCCUCUGACGUUAGCGGCGGACGGGUGAGUAACACGUGGAUAACCUACCUAUAAGACUGGGAUAACUUCGGGAAACCGGAGCUAAUACCGGAUAACAUGUUGAACCGCAUGGUUCAACAGUGAAAGACGGUUUUGCUGUCACUUAUAGAUGGAUCCGCGUCGCAUUAGCUAGUUGGUAAGGUAACGGCUUACCAAGGCAACGAUGCGUAGCCGACCUGAGAGGGUGAUCGGCCACACUGGAACUGAGACACGGUCCAGACUCCUACGGGAGGCAGCAGUAGGGAAUCUUCCGCAAAGGGCGAAAGCCUGACGGAGCAACGCCGCGUGAGUGAAGAAGGUCUUCGGAUCGUAAAACUCUGUUAUUAGGGAAGAACAAAUGUGUAAGUAACUAUGCACGUCUUGACGGUACCUAAUCAGAAAGCCACGGCUAACUACGUG